rnacentral:ncRNA from 1 species
GUUUCAGGGCGGGGUGAGAUUCCCCACUGGCGGUAACCAGAAGGCAGCCAUGCCACACUGGAAGUCCGCGACCCGAGCAGAUGAGGCGCCCCAGUGCUUCGUUCGCUUGGCUGAUCCGGUGAGAAUCCGGGGCCAACGGUUACAGUCCGGAUGGAAGAGGC